rnacentral:rRNA from 1 species
UACAGAGGUCUCGAGCGUUGUUCGGAUUCAUUGGGCGUAAAGGGUGCGUAGGCGGUCGCGCAAGUCGGAUGUGAAAUCUUAGGGCUCAACCCUGAAACUGCAUUCGAUACUGCGUGGCUCGAGUACUGGAGAGGAGACUGGAAUUUACGGUGUAGCAGUGAAAUGCGUAGAUAUCGUAAGGAAGACCAGUGGCGAAGGCGAGUCUCUGGACAGUUACUGACGCUGAGGCACGAAGGCCAGGGGAGCAAACGGG